AAAUCAGCUUCUCCAGCCUGCUCAGAAUUAGAUUCUGAUUGACAAUGCCUGAGAUUAGUCCUACUGUGGGCAGCCCUCAUCUGUCUAUGGAGGAUGUUAACAGCUGGUAUUGCUAUAUGCCCAUCCCAUCCCUCCCUCCUCCAUUUUUCAUGUUGAAUCCUAACUCCCUAAGAAGAUAGUAGCAGAAAGUAGGGGUUUGAGGAGGUGACAGGUACAGUGCAAUGUCUGAGGUAGGAAGCAGUCCUCUAUGUAUUAAACCAUGCCUUAAUCUUGGACUGCCAGCCUUCAGAACUGUGAGUGGUAAAUUUGGAUUAUUUAUAAGCCACCUACUAAAUGGUUAUUUUUGUUGCAACAGCCACAGUAAUCAAAGCCAGUGCUAAAGGAAUCCUCCAGCAAUCAUAGACCUUCAUAGGGUGUAAGAGUAGCUCAAAAACUCCCCACCUGUCGGAGUGUGGGCCAGGUGAGCAUCAACUCUUGAUAAUGGUGCUGCUUUAUGCCCACAGAAUAGAAGGCUGUGUAGGCUCAAAUACUUCAGAAGUAAAGGGGAGACAGGAUAGUUCCUACUAUGGAGUUCUGAUUAAUAAACAUAAUAGGAAAUAGAAAAAAAAAAAAAA
rnacentral:lncRNA from 1 species